UUUUAAAUCUAAAUGUAACACCCCUCGCCCGUAUCCGAUGCCGGGACGGGGUUUGAGGUGCUACCUGACUUUUACUAACACUUCCAUAUUAAAUAGGGCCAUAAAAUCUCAAAUAAUUAAAAACUUUUAUUUUCACAUACAAUCUGUCCCAUAUACGGGCUUACGAGGCCCAAAACAUAUAUCCGGAGUGGUUCGGGACCCAACUGAGAACUCAUGAAAAACUUAGAAAAUCUCUUGCAUCAAGGCUUCAUACGCCCGUGUGGGUACAGAGCACACGCCCGUGUGCGAGGGACACGCCCGUGUCCCAAACUCGUGUACAAAAACCUGGACAAAUACAAGGCUAUUUUCCAAGACAUUUUGUCACACUCACAAUAGAUAUACGCAUACUUAUACAAUAACAUACAACAUGGCAAAAUUAGGUACUUAAACAUUCCUAACAUGUCAUGAUUAUGGCAAUUUCACAUGCAAUAGAUAUCAUAGAUUUUACUCACAUCUUUACCACAUUCAUACUAUAAUCAUUAUAAACUCAUCACAUAAUACCAUAGCACAUGCAUGCAUAAUUAAAAUAGAUUUACAACCCCAUAAUCAAAAUAGGCCAACACAUAUGGUUAAAGCCAUAUCACAUACUCUAAUAUUUACAACAUAUUCUCAAGUUCACAACAAGCUGUCUUUCUGAGCAACGGUCACUAAAUUAUUUAUAUCUGGAGCUACGAAACUCAAAAUUAAGUUCCACUAAUUUUACCUGAAUCUAGACUCAUUUAUAUUUCUUUCAUAAAAUUUCCAGAAUUUUUGACUUAGCCAAUUAGUACAGUUUAUUCCUCAAGUUUGCUCCUGAUUCACUGUCUGACAGUUUCAACCCUUUUGCACUAAAGUUCAAUUAUCUCAUAGUACAGGAUUCGAAUAAUGUUUUAAUAUAUUUCUCAUGAAACUAGACUCAUAUUUCUACUUACUAAUUUUGUUCUAGAAUUUUUCGUCAAGCCAUUUAGUACAUUUUAUUAGUUAAAGUUUCCCCUGUUUCAGGGUAUGACUACUCUGACCCCUGUGCACUACGAAUCGAAUUUCUCCAUGUACAGAAUUCCAAUGACCAUGUCGUUUGUUUCCCUUAAAAAUAGACUCAAUAAGGAAUGUAUACAGGUAAGGUAUGACUAUUAAUAAUUUUUUUACAAUUUACGUUGAAUUUAUAAAAUCAGAACAGGGGAUCUCAAAUUCAUUCAGACCCUAUUUCACAAGAAUUUAAAUAUCACACAAUAUAGAAUUCUUUUUCUUCCUCUAUUUCUUUCAUGUGAAAAUAGACUCAUUAAGCUUUAAUCCCAUAUUUUAUUCUACCUCUAACUCAUUUCCCACUAUUUUUAGUGUAUUUUCAAAGUUACACUACUGCAGUAACUCAAAUCUGUCAAGGCUAAGUUACUCAUUCAUGGUCAUUGUUCAUAAUAUUAAUACAACACCAUUUUAUCCAUCAUGGUAAGAACACAUAUUAUGCAUCAUAGAUCAUCACAUAUCAAGGCAUUCUCAUAGGAUUAGUAUACAUACUUGCACAACUCGUAACAUAACUCGAGUGCAUACUCACCAAUGACUUACCUCAUUGGGACCAUCAUCAACUCUUUCCUUGGAUUGCCCGUUGAACACUUGGAAUACUAAUUGGAUACUCGGAAAAGCCUUUGCACAUAAGUGCCUCAAUUGUAGCUAAAACUACCUCAUAUCUCAUGACAUUUCAAUGCUCACUCUCAUGCUAGUCAUCUAGACUCAUAAUUCCUAGUGACAUGUCACUCGUAUCCUAUUCUAUUCCUAAGGUUCAAACGGGAUUUUUCAUCGUCUAUUAAGGCUUUGUCUUAUCAUAUUUCUAUUAAUCACAUACACAUUAAUAUCUGUACAAUUCAUGUAAUGAUAACAUUUAAAUACAUGUAUAGCAUGGUAUUGUUUACAUACGAACUUACCUUGAUACCACAAAGGUGAAAAGGACAUACUCGUCCAUAAAUCGAUUUCUUUCCGUUCUAGGUCCAAGUCUCAAUUUUCAUCAUUUAUAACAUCACAUUUAGCCUACCAAUCAGUCACAAUAUUCAUAUGGGUCUAAAAAUCAUAUUUUUACAAAUUUUCAUUUUGACCCCUAAACUUUUGCAUAUUUGCACUUUUGCCCCAAUGCUCGUAAAUUAAUUUUUAUCACAUUUCUUUACUCCUUGAGUCUAGAUGAACCAUUUUCAUAGCUAUAGCAACUCAUAAUUUCAACUAUUUUACACAUUUACAACUCAUUUUACAACUUAGCAAUUCAGACCCUUUUAAAGUAUUUUCAUGCAAUUUCUUUCACAAAAGUUGUUUAUUAGACAACUAGGACUCAUAAUCUUCCAUAAAAACACAGCAAACAACACAUUUACUCUCAUGGUAAAACCCUAGACUCUUCAUCAUUUUGCGAAAUAAUCCCCUCUUAUGAAAGCUUAUGCUUUAAGGGUUCCAAAAAUACAAAAAUCAUCAAGCAAAGACAUUAAAAUCACUUACAAGCAAGGGAAAUAUGUUGCUGAAAUUUUCCAGCUUCAAAACCCUUUCUUUGCUGCAUAUUUCGGUGAAGGGGAAGAGAAAAAUGAUAGCUUUUUCUUCUUCUUUUUUUUAUUUGUUAAUAAUAAAACUAUUUUGUCUAAUUUUGACUUUUCAACUAUUUUAUCUCCCAUGGCCGGCCAUCACACUUUCAAUGGCCUAACUUCACUUUAAAGACCCCCAAUUUAAGAUACAAGGCAAUUUAACACCUUUAGGUAUUAAAACACAACUUUUACUUUUUACGCGAUUUAGUCCUUUUUCGAAAUUGGACUAGAAAUCGCUAAAAUUAAUAUACCAAAAUUAACAUGCACUUAUAAAAUCAUAUUAUAACACAUAAAAUAAUACUAAAAUAAUUUUCUCUGGCCUCGAAAUAGUGGUCCCGAAAUCACUGUUCCGACUAGGCCCAAAAUCGGGCUGUUACAUUUCUUCCCCCCUUUAGGGAUUUUCGUCCCCGAAAAUCUUACCAGAAAAAGUUGUUCUCUACUUUCACGAGUCACUUUUAUCUUUUUCUCACAACUUACAAAACAACUCCGCACAAGCUCAUACUCAAGAUUUCCCUUAGCUUUUUCAUAGUUGAGGUAUAAACCUUGGAGCUCAAUUUGAAACACUGGAGACUGACAUUCUUGGAACUAUAAACUCAGAAACAUACAACUCAGUCACAUCUGUUGAAUAAUAUAUCUGUACAUACUAAAAUAAUCAUGCAGACUUCCAUCAUCAAUCUUUCACAAUUCAACUUGCAUCUCUCUUUUUUCCUGGAAAUGAGAGACAUCCCGAUACGAAAUUCAUAACAGUCCUUUCUCAUUUUCUUCCCACUGUCAUCACUGACAAUAAUAAUCUCGAAUACAUUUGAUAUUCGGCUUUACCCUAUAGAAAAUUUGACAUCCUUUGAACGAAUAGACAAGAUACUGCUGUGAACUCUGUACUCAAUUCUCUGUAUACCCAGAGUUUCUCAGUACUGAAAUCUUACUCUAAAUUAAUAGUAAUAGAAACCAGAAAUCAAAUCCUCCCUGCAAUUCCAAAUUAAAAGUCGAAUCAUGCUGUACUUGUUUAAUUUACCACUUAUAGCCACAUUUCUAUACUCUGAUCAUCAACUGUUUAGAAACUUUACUAACAUGAAUCAAAUGAUUCCAACUUCAUAGAUGUGGUCUUUUUAUUAAUCAGGAUAACUAUACUUAUAACAUCUCUCGAACAAGAGAAAUCCAACUAAUAUGUUUCCAUAACAUACUUUCAAGAAUAAAACCCCAUCAUUUCUGACUGUACGACUACUUACCAAAGAACACGUAACUGUGUUCUCGAACCAGAGAAUAAACUUAAAUGCACAUAACUCAGAUUUACUUUUGCAGAAUAACCAUUCUUUACCCCAGGAAUUUUAAAGAAAUCUCGACACUGAAAUCCCCACACUUCUAUGGUCGAGCCAGAAGCUUAAUCAUAACAAAUUCUAAUAUGGCAAGUCAAAGAUUACUCGUAAAGAUAAGCCAAGCUUGAUAAUUCUCGAAACAAGAACGAGAGAAAAGCCAAUAUAAGAAAUUCCAAGAUAUAAAGACUCUACCAGAAAUCCGAGAAUAUAAUCCAGAAGAAAAUAAUAAAUAUGAUCCGGAAAAUCCCUCAGAGAAAACCAGAAGGAAACUACUGUCUAUACGCUCUAGAAUUUCUCGUAACAGAGAUAAUAUAAUUCUCCAAUAUGUAUAAACCAUAAUCAAUAGAACAUCAGAAUAAUCUCAUAUAGAUUUUUACUAUCAACUUCAUUCCAGUAUAUCAGAAUAGAAAUCUGAAGAGAUGGGGAAAUGUCGAUCAUAACUAACUGGACUAAUAGAACUUUUCAUCUAAUAUCACAGUCACUAGCAUCCUCAUACGGUAGAAUUUCCAUUCGAAAGGGAUAACCAUACGUAUUCCCCAGAAUAGAGGAAAACAUAGAAUACUCAGAAGAGAAAGGUAGCCAUCACUUUAUUUAAUUGAAUCCGUCAUAUUCAGACAUCUGUGCAAGUCUGACAUUAUUCCUCUAACUAAUUCUGUCUUCGCUAAUCUCAUACUAUUCCAUUAUUGUACUCUUCACUUUCACUUUUGCAAGCUUAUGCAACAUAUCUCUCGAAAAUCUCAUCGUAUAACUCUAUUCUGGUAAGGGGGCGAAGAUUGUAAAGCCUCUAAACUUUUGACUCUCAAGCAAAUACAUAUUCAACAACAACAUAGCAUUACACACAUCGAUUCAAACAUUUCAAAUUUCCAACUUGUUAUGAACACAUUUUCACAUAUCUUAGUAAUACAUGCAACUUUAUUUCGUGCAAAUAUUAGCUAAACAUAAGUGAAUUUAUCAUAACUCAAACUUUCAUUUAUUUUUCUCAAAUUACCCUUAAUGUUUUAUCAAAUUCCCAUAUUUAGUCUUAAUCACUUGCCAAUAUUUAUCAAAUUGGAGAACGUCUUAUGGUUUUGAGUACAUUGCUUACUUGAUGCCAUAGUUCAACUAUGGUCUUGUACUAGCUCUCAUCCAUCUGUGUCGAUGCCGUGUCCCAGACAGGUCUUACACUGACACAUGUAACCGUGCUGACGCAUGUCCCAGACAUGUCUUACACUAGCACAUCUCGUAGCCGACACAUGUCCCGGACAUGUCUGACAUUGGCUAACAUCUCGAGGCCGAUGCAUGUCCCAGACAUGUCUUACACUGGCUCUCAUACUGUGGCUGAUGCAUGUCCCAGACAUGUCUUACACUAGCCCUCGUCUCAAUGCCGAUGCCAUGUCCCAUACAUGGUCUUACACUGGCACACAAAUCUCUUGUAUUGCCACGGUCCAACCAUGGUCUUUUCCGUCAAUUCAUUAGUGAACGAUCGUACUCAUUCCCUGCAUUCCACCCAAUUUGAUCUUUCAUUACAACUUUCAUGCUAUUAUGACAUUUAUGAUUCUGUAACUGAGAUUAUAAAGCAUAACAUUACUGCAUCUUGACUUCAUCAAUCUAGACAUAAAUGUCAACCUCAUGUAUAUAUUGAUUAUUAAUCAUGCAAUAAAAGCAUUCAUACAUACAUUCUGUCAUUUCAAGCAAAUUUCUUUCUUUUCCUAAACACUUGGCCAAAUCAAGUUGGACAUUUAACAUCGUAUGAAUACUAACAUGCAUAAAAGCGUUUUUUCACAACUUAACUGUGUUUUACUCCACUAUUUCACAUUCUUUAACUCAAGAGUAUCACAUAGUGAAUACUAGUUCAUAUGAAAAUCAUUAAUGUCUUUUCAUACCUUUCCCAUUUUCAGCAUGUCACAAGCAUGAUUCAAUAAUCUCAACUUUACUCUUAUCUUUAUCAAGAUUUGCUCGGUUCGAAUUCAUUCCUGUCUUAAACAACAGUUUUGUUAGGGCCGAGAGAUAUCACACUAUCACGAGUAAUACUAUGGCAUGUAUAGCUAGACUCUCUUACGCUAGGUUAGUCUGAGAACCGACUAAACCAUGCUCUGAUACCACUAAAUGUAACACCCCUCGCCCGCAUCCGACGCCGAGACAGGGUUCGAGGUGCUACUUGACUUUUACUAACACUUCCAUACUAAAUAGGGCCAUGAAAUCUCAAAUAAUUAAAAACUUUUAUUUUCAUAUACAAUCUGUCCCAUAUACGGGCUUACGAGGCCCAAAACAUACGUCCGGAGUGGUUUGGGACCCAACCGAGAACUCAUGAAAAACUUAGAAAAUCUCUUGCAUCAAGGCUUCAUACGCCCGUGUGGGUAUAGAGCACACGCCCGUGUGGGUAUAGAGCACACGCCCGUGUGCUAGGGACACGCCCGUGUCCCAAACCCGUGUACAAAAACCUAGACAAAUACAAGGCUAUUUUCCAAGCCAUUUUGUCACACUCACAAUAGAUACACACAUACUUAUACAACAACAUACAACAUGGCAAAAUUAGGUACUUAAACAUUCCUAACAUGUCAUGAUUAUGGCAAUUUCACAUGCAAUAGAUAUAAUAGAUUUUACUCACAUCUUUACCAUAUUCAUACUAUAAUCAUUAUAAACUCAUCACAUAAUACCAUAUCACAUGCAUGCAUAAUUAAAAUAGAUUUACAACCCCAUAAUCAAAAUAGGCCAACACAUAUGGUUAAAGCCAUAUCACAUACUCUAAUAUUUACAACAUAUUCUCAAGUUUACUACAAGCUAUCUUUUUGAGCAACGGUCACUAAAUUAUUUAUAUAUAGAGUUAAGAAACUCCAAAUUAAGUUCCGUUAAUUUUACCUGAAACUAGACUCAUUUAUCUUUCUUUCAUAAAAUUUCCAGAAUUUUUGACUCAGCCAAUUAGUACAGUUUAUUCCUCAAGUUUGCUCCUGAUUCACUGUCUGACAGUUUCAACCCUUCUACACUAAAGUUCAAUUAUCUCAUAGUACAGGAUUCGAAUAAUGUUCUCGUCUAUUUCUCUUGAAACUAGACUCAUAUUUCUACUUACUAGUUUUUUUAUAGAAUUUUUUGUGAAGCCAUUUAGUACAUUUUAUUAGUUAAAGUUUCCCCUGUUUCAGGGUAUGACUACUCUGACCCCUGUGCACUACGAAUCGAAUUUCUCCAUGUACAGAAUUCUAAUGACCAUGCUGUUUGUUUCCCUUAAAAAUAGACUCAAUAAGGAAUGUAUACAGGUAAGGUAUGACUAUUAAUAAUUUUUUUACAAUUUAUGGUGAAUUUAUAAAAUCAGAACAGGGGAUCUCAAAUUCAUUCAGACCCUAUUUCACAAGAAUUUAAAUAUCACACAAUAUAGAAUUCUUUUUCUUCCUCUAUUUCUUUCAUGUGAAAAUAGACUCAUUAAGCUUUAAUCCCAUAUUUUAUUCUGCCUCUAACUCAUUUUCCACUAUUUUUAGUGUAUUUUCAAAGUUACACUACUGCAGUAACUCAAAUCUGUCAAGGCUAAGUUACUCAUUCAUGGUCAUUGUUCAUAAUAUUAAUACAACACCAUUUUAUCCAUCAUGGUAAGAACACAUAUUAUGCAUCAUAGAUCAUCACAUAUCAAGGCAUUCUCAUAGGAUUAGUAUACAUACUUGCACAACUCGUAACAUAACUCGAGUGCAUACUCACCAAUGACUUACCUCAUUGGGACCAUCAUCAACUCUUUCCUUGGAUUGCCCGUUGAACACUUGGAAUACUAAUUGGAUACUCGGAAAAGCCUUUGCACAUAAGUGCCUCAAUUGUAGCUAAAACUACCUCAUAUCUCAUGACAUUUCAAUGCUCACUCUCAUGCUAGUCAUCUAGACUCAUAAUUCCUAGUGACAUGUCACUCGUAUCCUAUUCUAUUCCUAAGGUUCAAACGGGAUUUUUCAUCGUCUAUUAAGGCUUUGUCUUAUCAUAUUUCUAUUAAUCACAUACACAUUAAUAUCUGUACAAUUCAUGUAAUGAUAACAUUUAAAUACAUGUAUAGCAUGGUAUUGUUUACAUACGAACUUACCUUGAUACCACAAAGGUGAAAAGGACAUACUCGUCCAUAAAUCGAUUUCUUUCCGUUCUAGGUCCAAGUCUCAAUUUUCAUCAUCUAUAACAUCACAUUUAGCCUACCAAUCAGUCACAAUAUUCAUAUGGGUCUAAAAAUCAUAUUUUUACAAAUUUUCAUUUUGACCCCUAAACUUUUGCAUAUUUGCACUUUUGCCCCAAUGCUCGUAAAUUAAUUUUUAUCACAUUUCUUUACUCCUUGAGUCUAGAUGAACCAUUUUCAUAGCUAUAGCAACUCAUAAUUUCAACUAUUUUACACAUUUACAACUCAUUUUACAACUUAGCAAUUUAGCCCUUUUAAAGGUAUUUUCAUGCAAUUUCUUUCACAAAAGUUGUUUAUUAGACAACUAGGACUCAUAAUCUUCCAUAAAAACACAGCAAACAACAUAUUUACUCUCAUGGUAAAACCCUAAACUCUUCAUCAUUUUGCAAAAUAAUCCCCUCUUAUGAAAGCUUAUGCUUUAAGGGUUCCAAAAAUACAAAAAUCAUCAAGCAAAGACAUUAAAAUCACUUACAAGCAAGGGAAAUAUGUUGCUGAAAUUUUCCAGCUUCAAAACCCUUUCUUUGCUGCAUAUUUCGGUGAAGGGGAAGAGAAAAAUGAUAGCUUUUUCUUCUUCUUUUUU
rnacentral:lncRNA from 1 species